GAUCCUGGCUCAGAUUGAACGCUGGCGGAAUGCUUUACACAUGCAAGUCGAACGGUAGAGGGGGCAACCCCUUGAGAGUGGCGAACGGGUGAGUAAUAUAUCGGAACGUGCCCAGUCGUGGGGGAUAACGUAGCGAAAGUUACGCUAAUACCGCAUACGAUCUAAGGAUGAAAGCGGGGGAUCGCAAGACCUCGCGCGAUUGGAGCGGCCGAUAUCAGAUUAGGUAGUUGGUGGGGUAAAGGCUCACCAAGCCAACGAUCUGUAGCUGGUCUGAGAGGACGACCAGCCACACUGGAACUGAGACACGGUCCAGACUCCUACGGGAGGCAGCAGUGGGGAAUUUUGGACAAUGGACGCAAGUCUGAUCCAGCCAUUCCGCGUGCAGGAUGAAGGCCCUCGGGUUGUAAACUGCUUUUGUACGGAACGAAAAGGUUUGUCUUAAUACGAUGAGCUCAUGACGGUACCGUAAGAAUAAGCACCGGCUAACUACGUG
rnacentral:rRNA from 1 species